UACGGGGGGAGCAAGCGUUGUUCGGAUUUACUGGGCGUAAAGGGCGCGUAGGCGGCCACCGCAAGUCGACUGUGAAAUCUCCGGGCUUAACCCGGAAAGGUCAGCCGAUACUGCGGGGCUAGAGUGCAGAAGGGGCAACUGGAAUUCUCGGUGUAGCGGUGAAAUGCGUAGAUAUUGGGAAGAACACCGGUGGCGAAAGCGCCUUGCUGGGUCUGCACUGACACUGAGGGACGAAAGCUAGGGGAGCGAAAGGG
rnacentral:rRNA from 1 species